AUUGAACGCUGGCGGCAGGCUUAACACAUGCAAGUCGAGCGGGGGAAGGUAGCUUGCUACUGGACCUAGCGGCGGACGGGUGAGUAAUGCUUAGGAAUCUGCCUAUUAGUGGGGGACAACAUCUCGAAAGGGAUGCUAAUACCGCAUACGUCCUACGGGAGAAAGCAGGGGAUCUUCGGACCUUGCGCUAAUAGAUGAGCCUAAGUCGGAUUAGCUAGUUGGUGGGGUAAAGGCCUACCAAGGCGACGAUCUGUAGCGGGUCUGAGAGGAUGAUCCGCCACACUGGGACUGAGACACGGCCCAGACUCCUACGGGAGGCAGCAGUGGGGAAUAUUGGACAAUGGGGGGAACCCUAAUCCAGCCAUGCCGCGUGUGUGAAGAAGGCCUUAUGGUUGUAAAGCACUUUAAGCGAGGAGGAGGCUACUUUAGUUAAUACCUAGAGAUAGUGGACGUUACUCGCAGAAUAAGCACCGGCUAACUCUGUGCCAGCAGCCGCAGUAACAC
rnacentral:rRNA from 1 species